GGCCCUACGGGGUGCAGCAGGCGCGAAAACUCCGCAAUACACGAAAGUGUGACGGGGGGACCCCAAGUGCAUUCACGCAAGUGAAUGCUUUUGUGAAGUGUAAAUAGCUUCACGAAUAAGAGCUGGGUAAGACCGGUGCCAGCCGCCGCGGUAACACCGGCAGCUCGAGUGGUGAUCACUAUUAUUGGGCCUAAAGCGUCCGUAGCCGGUUUGAUAAGUCCUUGGGCAAAUCCUGCCGCUUAACAGUAGGAAUUCUGAGGAUACUACCAGACUUGAGGCCGAGAGAGGUCGGAGGUACUCCUGGGGUAGCGGUGAAAUGCUAUAAUCCUAGGGGGACCACCAGUGACGAAAGCGUCCGACCAGAGCGGGCCUGACGGUAAGGGACGAAAGCCAGGGGCGCGAACGGGAUUAGAUACCCCGGUAGUCCUGGCCGUAAACGCUGUGGGCUAGGUGUUGCAUGCUCUACGAGGGCGUGCAGUGCCGAAGAGAAGUUGAUAAGCCUACCGCCUGGGAAGUACUAUCGCAAGAUAGAAACUUAAAGGAAUUGGCGGGGGAGCAC
rnacentral:rRNA from 1 species